GAGCUCUCAGAGAAAAGCGGUCAAUCCCUCCCAUCUCCCUGGUCUCCAGCCGUGCUCCAAGCUCAUCUGGCCUGUGACCGAGUGUUUCUGUCUCUGGCGCACGGCCCCGUUUGGAGUCUCCAAGCCUCGCAGAUUCCUACAUCACACUACUACACCACUCGUCACAGGAGAGGAAGAGAACAGAAAACAGAAAUGUGAUGGGAUGUUGCCUCUGAGAUUAACGGCUUCCAAAUUGGACAUCUGAAUCAUUUGCCGCGGGGGAAGCCAGUUGCCAUGUCCAGACAGUCUUCUGGAGAAGCCUAUCCGGUGAGGAACUGGAGCUGCCAACGACCAUGUGGAUUGAAUGAAACCUUUGGUAAGCACUUCGUGCUUGAGGAUUUAAUACAUUCGAGCCAUGCUGAAUGGAUUACUGAACAGAUCCCCUGAUUCUGGGCACAGAGAAUUUUGAGGUCAUUAAAUCUGUGAUUCCAAUGGCAGAAUUUUCAGCAUCCGAUCUAUAGUAGCCAGGUCCAAGAGGAGACCUGGUGACCCGACAGCCAGAUGAAGGACCUCAAAUAAUUCGCUUAUUGGUGGGCAUGGCUCAGAGAUGCCAGCUCUAGAGCAGAAACAGUCCUGCCCUGAGUCAGAAAAAGAAAUGGCACAUAACAGGUAUCCAGAUACAAAUGGACAUUUCCACGAACAUCUUGCAAAACAACAUCAAAGUGAAGAGUACAACCGUCUAUGUUUCAAGAAAUGGUAUCUUUCUCAGAGCACUUAAUUAGCUUUCCAAAGCCAGCAACAAACCUAGACAAAUCCCAUCCGUGCAGGCAGGGUCCGCUAGGUCCAGAGCCACCUUCUUGACAAAUCAAACAGGUCAUUGUGGUUAAUAACAUUUGGACACAGAUUUCAAAGCAUGUGUAACAAACUCAUGGUGCCUCCAAACCAGGCAGAAUGGAGGAAUUCCCUCUACGUCAAAGCAACCAUACCCUUGAAUGCAAGCCAAGCUCUGGGUCCAGGAGGGAGAGAAUGCUGCUAGCAUCCGGUGAACCACUCAUUUGAUUUCGGUCUAAAUGCCAUCUUCUCAGAGAAGCUAUCCGGGAUCACCUCCAGACAAAGUAAUCCUCCCCUCCUGUCAUUCUCCCUCAGAACAGCCUGCUCCCUUCGUGCACAGAAUCACAUCAGAUCAUGUGGCUUGAACGUCCACACUGACCUGGGUACCUCUCCCAGCACCAUCCAUCCCCAGCUAUACAACCUUUAAGUAGAGGAAACCAGGAAGCUAUGAAAGAAUGAAGCAGAUCUCAAUGUACUGAUGGAAAACAGUCUGCCAGACGGAAGGCACAGAAAUCGAACACGGAGGGAAGAUUAGAAUACCAAAUAAUACCACGAGAUCAAAAAAGAGAAGACAAGUCUGCAGGAGGAGGUCACCCUGCAGUUACGGACGACGACUCCCAAGAGACAAAUGUCAACAAGGAGUGGUGGGGGCAGAGGCCAG